GAUUGGUUCAUAGAUCUGUCUUGUUCCAGUUCCUGGAUUCUUACAAGAAGGGACCAACAUCGUGGGGUUCAUCAUGAAACUUGUACUCAGCAGAUCAAUCGCUGUUGCCUGUUACCUACGUCGAUUUAACGGUAUUCAAUUCUGUUUCCUAUAUGGUACGUGGCAGAGGCAAGGGGAGGAAUGGGAUCACGCGGGAUCCACCCCGAACAAGAAGCUGGCUGAACUUCGUGCUGUGAAAGGCUGAUGGCAUUUAUGUGACUGCGGGCACAGCGGCCAGGGUUUAGUGCCAAGGAAUCUCGAAAGAUGCUGCUCUGCGGCGGCCCAUGAGCAGAAACAAGUGUGGGGGAGAGUCUGAAGGAUGGAGACCAAGGAGGUCUGUCUGGCUCACGGAAGCUUUCCCAGCACAGUUUGGCUCAGGUGGGACUAGCUCUAUCUGCUGUAAGGGAGAUACUUGGCCCAUCAGGUUUGUAAUCCAUACUUGCCUCUUAGCAGGAACAGAAAAGGAUGACAGAGUUGUUUUUGCUUUAACAAGGCG
rnacentral:lncRNA from 1 species